AAGUAUUCAGACCUAAUGUAAUUUAGCUGUACCCUACACAAUGCGAAAAGAAGCCCACUUACAACACUAUAUGCCAACGCAAGGCAUAUAAUUGUUUCCCGUCUUUUAACACAUUAAGAUAUUGUUUGUCCUGAAAUUCAAAUAGCCCCACAACAAUAGUGAGCAAUGGCUCCAGCCCCUUUUCCAUGAUAUCUCAUUUCUCAUUUACUGCCACCACCAAAAAGGUAGUCCAGUGAAGAGCCACCGCCAGGAGCUGCAUGAACCUUUGUUGUUGGCCGAUCAGUGAGGAAGUUGCCACAGUUCUGGCCAUCAGCACGGAAAUAGUUGUUUGUAGUGUACUCUGGGACACCAGCUGGAAUCUGCGUGAGGGGCUCUACAGGUGAGGCAGCACGAGUGGGCUUCUGACCAGGUCCACUGCUUGCAGCCUGUCCCAAGUUUUGAGGAGGCGCUUCAACGCUAUUAUUAGGGGGUUUUGGAGCCUCUCCAUUUCCAAAAAGGUAGCCCAGAGAACUCUCUCCUCCGCCACUGCUUACUCCACGACCCAUUAUCUCAAUUAGAACUUUUAUCUCAGAAAGC
rnacentral:misc_RNA from 1 species